UUGCACGCUGGCGGACUGCUUUACACAUGCCAGUCGAGCGGCAGCGCGGCCUUCGGGCUGGCGGCGAGCGGCGAACGGGUGAGUAAUGCAUCGGAACAUGCCCAGUCGUGGGGGAUAACACUUCGAAAGAAGUGCUAAUACCGCAUACGUCCUGAGGGGGAAAGCGGGGGAUCGCAAGACCUCGCGCGAUUGGAGUGGCCGAUGUCAGAUUAGCUAGUUGGUGGGGUAAAGGCCUACCAAGGCGACGAUCUGUAGCUGGUCUGAGAGGAUGAUCAGCCACACUGGGACUGAGACACGGCCCAGACUCCUACGGGAGGCAGCAGUGGGGAAUUUUGGACAAUGGGGGCAACCCUGAUCCAGCCAUUCCGCGUGAGUGAAGAAGGCCUUCGGGUUGUAAAGCUCUUUCGGCAGGAACGAAACGGUGGGCUCUAACAUAGUCCGCUAAUGACGGUACCUGAAGAAGAAGCACCGGCUAACUACGUG
rnacentral:rRNA from 1 species